UACGUAGGGACCGAGCGUUGUCCGGAUUCAUUGGGCGUAAAGAGCUCGUAGGCGGCUGCUCAAGUCGAAUGUGAAAACUCGAGGCUCAACCUCGAGCCUGCAUUCGAUACUGGGCGGCUAGAGUCUGGUAGGGGGAUCUGGAAUUCCUGGUGUAGCGGUGAAAUGCGCAGAUAUCAGGAGGAACACCGAUGGCGAAGGCAGGUCUCUGGGCCGAUACUGACGCUGAGGAGCGAAAGCGUGGGGAGCAAACAGG
rnacentral:rRNA from 1 species